ACGAACGCUGGCGGCGUGCUUAACACAUGCAAGUCGAACGGAAAGGCCCUGCUUGCAGGGUACUCGAGUGGCGAACGGGUGAGUAACACGUGGGUGAUCUGCCCUGCACUUCGGGAUAAGCCUGGGAAACUGGGUCUAAUACCGGAUAGGAGCCAUUUUUAGUGUGAUGGUUGGAAAGUUUUUUCGGUGUAGGAUGAGCUCGCGGCCUAUCAGCUUGUUGGUGGGGUAAUGGCCUACCAAGGCGGCGACGGGUAGCCGGCCUGAGAGGGUGGACGGCCACAUUGGUACUGAGAUACGGCCCAGACUCCUACGGGAGGCAGCAGUGGGGAAUAUUGCACAAUGGGCGCAAGCCUGAUGCAGCGACGCCGCGUGGGGGAUGACGGCCUUCGGGUUGUAAACUCCUUUCGCUAGGGACGAAGCUUUUUGUGACGGUACCUAGAUAAGAAGCACCGGCUAACUACGUG
rnacentral:rRNA from 1 species